AACGAACGCUGGCGGCAUGCCUAACACAUGCAAGUCGAACGAAGCCUUCGGGCUUAGUGGCGCACGGGUGCGUAACGCGUGGGAAUCUGCCCCUUGCUUCGGAAUAACAGGUAGAAAUGACUGCUAAUACCGGAUGAAGUCUUCGGACCAAAGAUUUAUCGGCAAGGGAUGAGCCCGCGUAGGAUUAGGUAGUUGGUGGGGUAAAGGCCUACCAAGCCGACGAUCCUUAGCUGGUCUGAGAGGAUGAUCAGCCACACUGGGACUGAGACACGGCCCAGACUCCUACGGGAGGCAGCAGUGGGGAAUAUUGGACAAUGGACGCAAGUCUGAUCCAGCAAUGCCGCGUGAGUGAUGAAGGCCUUAGGGUUGUAAAGCUCUUUUACCAGGGAUGAUAAUGACAGUACCUGGAGAAUAAGCUCCGGCUAACUCCGUG
rnacentral:rRNA from 1 species